rnacentral:tRNA from 1 species
GGGUGCUUAGCUCAGCGGUAGAGCGUCUCCCUUACACGGAGAGGGUCGGGGUUCGAAACCUCAGCACCCACCA